rnacentral:rRNA from 1 species
UACGGAGGAGGCAAGCGUUAUCCGGAAUUAUUGGGCGUAAAGCGUCCGUAGGUGGUUUAGUAAGUCUGCUGUUAAAGCGCGGGGCUUAACUCCGUAUCGGCAGUGGAAACUACUAGACUAGAGUGUGGUAGGGGUAGAGGGAAUUCCCAGUGUAGCGGUGAAAUGCGUAGAUAUUGGGAGGAACACCAGUGGCGAAGGCGGCUACCUGGACCGGUUCUGACGCUGAGGCGCGAAAGCGUGGGUAGCAAACAGG